rnacentral:tRNA from 1 species
GAGGCUGUGGCUCAGCGGUAGAGCGCUUGCCUCACACAAGCGCGGCUCUGGAUUCGAUCCUCAGCACCACA